rnacentral:lncRNA from 1 species
AGCCCUGUCUCUGGAGGCGGAUGCUGGGUUCACAUUUUGACUCUAACGUGUACUGCUGGUAUGACUUUAGGUGACUGACCACCCUGAAGUGAUUCCCACCUGGGAGAAGGAAGGGGACUGCGUGGGGGAGGGCUGGCAAAGAACCCCACCACCUGGCACGUAAUACUGGAUUCUAGUCUCUGUGAGAUGGGUGAUGUCCUGCCCAUUUUACAGAUGGGAAAACUGAAGCUCAGAGAGGAAAAAAAAGAGAGCACAAGAAAAGCCCUUGUGACAAAUCUGCAUGAUCAAGGAAAAAAUGCCUCCCCUGAUGGGGUCCCCCAUGUCCGUGUCUCCUUCUGCAUCUUGAGUGCAUUCAUUGCUCUCCCUCGGGAG